rnacentral:misc_RNA from 1 species
GGUAUCCACCGUCUGAGGGCUUGACACCAUGGACUUGUCAAGAAAAGGUGCGGAACGGGCUCUGGAGCCUUGCAUAUUUUAUGCUUCAACUGGUGAAGGAAAAUAAUUCCCUGGAUGAUACCAUCAAAUUAGAUUUUCAUUCACACCUUGAAGUUCUAUCUGAUGUACUUUUGGAAGCAUAUUCUGGUGCUAUCUGUGCGAAAGUUGAGCGUGGAGAAGGACACAAAAGUCUGUUAGAUGAGUACUGUAAUAGAAGAGAUGACCUCUUGAAAUGUCUUUAUCAGCAAGUGAAAGAUUUAGUUGAAGGCAAACUGCAGGAUUUAGGUGA